rnacentral:rRNA from 1 species
UACGAAGGGGGCUAGCGUUGUUCGGAAUCACUGGGCGUAAAGGGCGCAUAGGCGGCUUUGUAAGUCGGGGGUGAAAGCCUGUGGCUCAACCACAGAAUUGCCUUCGAUACUGCAUGGCUUGAGACCGGAAGAGGUAAGUGGAACUGCGAGUGUAGAGGUGAAAUUCGUAGAUAUUCGCAAGAACACCAGUGGCGAAGGCGGCUUACUGGUCCGGUUCUGACGCUGAGGCGCGAAAGCGUGGGGAGCAAACAGG